GGAGGGUGCAAGCGUUGUCCGGAUUUAUUGGGUUUAAAGGGUGCGUAGGCGGCCCUGUAAGUCAGUGGUGAAAGCCUCCAGCUCAACUGGAGAACUGCCAUUGAUACUGCAGGGCUUGAGUACAGACGAGGUUGGCGGAAUUGAUUGUGUAGCGGUGAAAUGCAUAGAUACAAUCAAGAACUCCGAUUGCGUAGGCAGCUAACUAGGCUGUAACUGACGCUGAGGCACGAAAGCGUGGGGAGCGAACAGGAUUAGAUACCCUGGUAGUCCACGCUGUAAACGAUGAUUACUCGAUGUUGGCGAUAAACAGUCAGCGUCUUAGCGAAAGCGUUAAGUAAUCCACCUGGGGAGUACGCCCGCAAGGGUGAA
rnacentral:rRNA from 1 species